CAAUAGUGUAUAUUAAAGUUGUUGCAGUUAAAAAGCUCGUAGUUGGAUGUCGGUUACUCUGGAGAUUGUCCACACUUUAUGUGUGCGUACAUAAUCCAAGUACCUUCUUUCAGGUUGUAUCUUGUAUACUCCUGAUUAUUUACUUUGAGAAAAUUUGAGUGUUCAAAGCAGGCGUAAUCGUGCCUUUGAAAAUAUUAGCAUGGGAUAAUGAAAUAAGACUUUUUGCCUUAUUCUCGUUGGUUCUUUGGGCUUAAGUAAUGAUUAAUAGGGACAGUUGGGGUAAUCUGUAUUUGAUCGCCAGAGGUGAAAUUCUCGGAUUUGUUAAAGACUAACUUAUGCGAAAGCAUUUGCCAAGGAUGUUUUCAUUAA
rnacentral:rRNA from 1 species